UACGUAGGUGGCAAGCGUUUGUUCGGAAUUAUUGGGCGUAAAGGGCGCGUAGGCGGUUCUGUAAGUCGGGGGUGAAAGCCCGAGGCUCAACCUCGGAACUGCCUUCGAUACUGCGGGUCUCGAGUCCGGGAGAGGUGAGUGGAAUUCCUAGUGUAGAGGUGAAAUUCGUAGAUAUUAGGAAGAACACCAGUGGCGAAGGCGGCUCACUGGCCCGGUACUGACGCUGAGGUGCGAAAGCGUGGGGAGCAAACAGG
rnacentral:rRNA from 1 species